GAGGAAAAGAAACCAACAGGGAUUGCCUCAGUAACGGCGAGUGAAGCGGCAAAAGCUCAAAUUUGAAAUCCUUCGGGAGUUGUAAUUUGUAGGUUGGGAGACCCCGCGGCUAGUGGCACCAAGUCCCUUGGAACAGGGCGCCUUAGAGGGUGAGAGCCCCGUAGGUACCACAAUACCGUCUUGUGUCUCCUCUCCAAAGAGUCGAGUUGUUUGGGAAUGCAGCUCAAAGUGGGUGGUAAAUUCCAUCUAAAGCUAAAUACCGGCGAGAGACCGAUAGCGAACAAGUACAGUGAUGGAAAGAUGAAAAGCACUUUGAAAAGAGAGUGAAACAGUACGUGAAAUUGUUGAAAGGGAAGGGCUUGCAAGCAGACACGGCCUUCGUGCCGGGCCAGCAUCGGUUGCUAGGGGUGGAUAAGGAACAAGGAAUGUAGCUCCUCGGAGUAUUAUAGCCUUGCGCGAUACACCCACUGGCGACCGAGGCCUGCGGUAUUCUUUACCUAGGAUGCUGGCGUAAUGGUUGCAAGCCGCCCGUC
rnacentral:rRNA from 1 species